CGGCGAUGGCAUCAGACCCGAACUUCGCAAAAGGAUGGCUGAGUUCAAACGUGCUUCCGUUUUACCCGGCGAGUGAAAUUAUCGUAAUUAACGUCGGAAAUGAGGUUAUGUCUUCAAAUGAUCAGAAUCUGAUGACGAAUUUGUUGCCGGCGAUGCAAAAUUUACGAAAAGCCCUAAAUGAUGUUUCAAUUGGAGGGAAAAUUAAGGUCUCUACGGUUCAUUCUAUGGCGGUUAUGAAGCAAUCGGAUCCUCCGUCUUCUGGAAGUUUCGACCCGAAUAUUGGGGAUUUGUUGAAAGGAUUGUUGGAGUUCAAUAAAGCUACUGGUUCUCCUUUCGCCAUUAAUCCUUAUCCGUUUUUCGCUUAUCAGAGUGAUCCUAGACCUGAUACUUUAGCUUUUUGCUUGUUUCAACCUAAUGCUGGUCGAGUUGAUGCUGGCACCAAGAUCAAGUACACCAACAUGUUCGAUGCUCAGGUGGAUGCAAUAAGAGCAGCGCUUAACGCUAUGGGAUUCAAGGAAGUAGAGAUUGUGAUUGCG
rnacentral:misc_RNA from 1 species